UCCGGUUUGGCACCGGCAGUCUCUUCAGAGUCCCCGGCUCAGCCUUUCGGCCUCUCCGCUGGCAACUGAAGACGGGGGUUGCGCUCGUUGCGGGACUUAACCCAACAUCUCACGACACGAGCUGACGACAGCCAUGCAGCACCUGUGCGCGGACCCCGAAGGGGGCCCCGGCUUUCACCGGGCUUUCCCGCGCAUGUCAAGCCCAGGUAAGGUUCUUCGCGUUGCGUCGAAUUAAACCACAUGCUCCACCGCUUGUGCGGGCCCCCGUCAAUUCCUUUGAGUUUCAGCCUUGCGGCCGUACUCCCCAGGCGGGGCACUUAAUGCGUUAGCGCCGGCACUCGGAGGGUCGCUCCCCCGAGCACCUAGUGCCCAUCGUUUACGGCGUGGACUAC
rnacentral:misc_RNA from 1 species